rnacentral:lncRNA from 1 species
GAUGGUUCUAGGAUACUCUCAGAGGUGGGAGCUCCCUGGUGAUUCAGCUCUUGGGUGUCUGGGAGUCAUUCAAGGUAGCCUUCAUUCAAUGACUGAUGAACAUGUGGUUAUAAAAGCCUGGCCACUUCACCCCAAUUCAGGACAGCUGGUGUUGGCCCCCAAAAUACUUCCUAAUAAAUCUCCUGCAUGAAAUCACCAUCUCAAAGUGUACCUUCUGGAGAAUACAGUGUUUGGAAAGCAGUAAGUCAUGGCUAAAUACAGCAAUAUGCUCUGGAGUUCACUUGGAUACUUCCCUAGGCAAAAGGCAAGUCCAAUUAUGGAUAAACAUGGCUAGACUACGAGCUCAACAUCAAGAAAAGCCAUUUCACCUAUGUAACCAACUAACCUAGAUGACCAAGCCUAAUUAUAGAGUUUUCAUUCAAAACCACUUUGUGCUUGGUAGACACUAAAUUGAAGCAAGGCAGCAAGUGGGUCUCACAGCCAGUCCCUCAAAGACGUAUCAAAAGCAGGAACUUCUUAAAACACUAGAAACUGAACUAGUACUUUACAACCCAUCAGCAAACUAAAGACGGGGAAGACCACACAAAGAUUAUUCACCUUAAUCAAAAACAUGGGACCAGCUCAGCAGCUCAUCACCACAGAAAAUAGAUGAAUGGAAAGAAAAUGGCUGCUCUAGACACGAGGCAAUUUCUGGAAAUCAGGAUGGUGACAUUGGAGAAGAAACUGAAGAUUCUUGGAGAAAUAUUAACUUCAUCUCAGUAAAAUGGAAGGCUUGCCAUGUUUCUCCUGUGGCUUUGACUACUCCUGGCACAUUGUACCUGCAACUUCCCUGCCUGGCCCUCACCCUGAGGCACAAAGACUCCAGUUUGAAAAGUAUAAUGAUAUUACAAAAUCAUCUUCAUGUGGAGACAUAUUAAAAGAGUAUGCAGCCAAAAGUAUAUAGUAAAAAGGGUAUUAUAUCAGAGAGCUGAAAAAUAAAGUAUUAUCUUUUUAGAUUUUAUGAUUCUGUGGUAUUUAUCAGCUUUUUUACAAUUUGUGAUUUGUUGUAAUGUAUUUAUUCUAAGUAAAUAAUUCACUUUCAUUCUUAAUUUUGUAUUUGUGAUUUUUCUUAAAGAGGGAGCUCCAAAAUUUUAUAAGCUUAAUGUGCAAUCAUAAUACAAAUUUUCCUGUCUGCAACAUAAAAAUUUUUAAUGCCUACAGCCAAAACAGUUUACAGGGUAUGACCAAGAGCUAGAACUAAAC